rnacentral:lncRNA from 1 species
CCAAAUGGAAGCUUCGAGAUUAACCCAGAUCUGAAGUAGUUCAUAUCAGAAACAGAUCGCAUAAGGAAGAGACGCCGUAGAACCUACGACCAACAUCGACCAAUAUAAGCGUGAUUCCUCGAAUGUAGCAGGACGGUCCCAAUAUACCAGCGUCACAAGCAAUGAUAUUCCUCUUGGAUGGCGAAACUCUACUAGCUCUCAAUAAGUAUGAGAGAUAAGCCAAUCCUCCCCAGCAAUUAAAAAAAAAAAAAUCGAUACCAACAAUCGUGGCGAGGAAAAACCAAGACCGACGGAUUGCCUUCCUUGCUCGAAAAUAAAAAAGAUCAAACCGAUCUAAGAAAAAUCAAAAUAAAAAAGAAAACAAAACCAUCGACGAAUUCAACUAAAAAGGAAUUUAG